rnacentral:rRNA from 1 species
UGGGGAAUCUUGCACAAUGGGCGAAAGCCUGAUGCAGCGACGCCGCGUGGAGGAUGAAGGCCUUCGGGUUGUAAACUCCUUUUGUAGGGGACAAUAAUGAUGGUACCCUAUGAAUAAGCCACGGCUAACUCUGUGCCAGCAGCCGCGGUAAGACAGAGGUGGCGAGCGUUGUUCGGAAUUACUGGGCUUAAAGGGCGCGUAGGCGGUGGGGUAAGUCUGAGGUGGAAUGCCACAGCCCAACUGUGGAACUGCCUUGGAAACUGCUUCACUUGAGUUAGACAGGGGAAGGCGGAAUUCCUGGUGUAGCGGUGAAAUGCGUAGAUAUCAGGAGGAAGGCCAGUGGUGAAGACGGCCUUCUGGGUCUUAACUGACGCUGAGGCGCGAAAGCGUGGGGAGCAAACAGG